UAGACACGUGUUCUUUGAGUCGCGUUGUUUGGGAAUGCAGCGCAAAGUGGGUGGUAAAUUCCAUCUAAAGCUAAAUAUAAGUGCGAGACCGAUAGCGAACAAGUACCGUGAGGGAAAGAUGAAAAGAACUUUGAAAAGAGAGUUAAAGAGUACCUGAAACUGCUGAAAGGGAAUCGGAUUUCUCCAGUUCUAUAAUCCGCAGCAUAUUUCAUUGGCGAGUGGGUGCGUGUAGUGUGUAUGGCAGUGGCUUGCUGCGCCUUCCAUUACUCUGCUUUCGCUUGCCGGUGCCCUGUGUUGUGGUGGGACGUCAGAGUCAGUUCGUAAGUCGCGGGAAAUGGCUAGUUGGGGAGGUAGGUCAAGUGCUUGCGCUAGGCUGUUAUAUCCUGAUUAGCUAGUAGUCGUGGCUGGGACUGAGGUGUCUACAACGUGCUUUAAAGUCUUAUGUAUGCUUGUCUGGUUGAUAGCCUGGAUAGCUUGCUAUGCUGGUUGUUAUAUCGGGCGAUUGUGUGCGUGAGUAACUUUUGCCGUUCGGGACUUUGACGAAAUGGAGCGAUUCGGCCCGUCUUGAAACACGGACCAAGGAGUCUAACAUGUGUGCGAGUGUUAGGGUGGUAAACCCCAGCGCGUAAUGAAAGUAAAGGGCGCCGUAAGGUGUCUGAGGUAGGAAACUCUCCUUGUGGGGGUGGCACUAUCGACCGAUCAUGAACCUUCGUGGUGAAAGAUUUGAGUCUGAGCACAUAUGUUGGUACCCGAAAGAUGGUGAACUAUGCCUGAGUAGGGUGAAGCCAGGGGAAACUCUGGUGGAAGCUCGUAGCGAUUCUGACGUGCAAAUCGAUCGUCGAACUUGGGUAUAGGGGCGAAAGACUAAUCGAACCAUCUAGUAGCUGGUUCCCUCCGAAAUUUCCCUCAGGAUAGCUGCAACUUAAUGAUAGUUUUAUGAGGUAAAGCGAAUGAUUAGAGGACUCGGGGAAGAAACUUCCUUGACCUAUUCUCAAACUUUAAAUCUGUAAGACCUGCAGGUUUCUUAAUUGAACUUGUGGAUGUGAAUAUCAAGUUGCAUGUGGGCCAUACUGGGUAAGCUAGUCUGGCGAUGCGGGAUGAACCGAACGCAAAGUUAAAGUGCCAAAGUGCCCGCUCACCUAGACACCAUAAAAGGUGUUGGUUCAUUUAGACAGCAGGACGGUGGCCAUGGAAGUCGGAAUCCGCUAAGGAGUGUGUAACAACUCACCUGCCGAAUGAACUAGCCCUGAAAAUGGAUGGCGCUGAAGCGAGCCACUUAUACUUUGCCGUUAACGCGAUAGCAUGAAUAAUGUAAGCGUUAAUGAGUAGGAGGGCGCGAAGGUUGUGAAGAAGCUUGUGGCGUGAGCCUGAGUGAAACAGCCUUUGGUGCAGAUCUUGGUGGUAGUAGCAAAUAUUCAAAUGCGAACUUUGAAGACUGAAGUGGAGAAAGGUUCCGUGUGAACAGUAAUUGGACACGGGUGAGUCGACCCUAAGAGAUAGGAGAAUUCCGUUUGAAAGCGGGCUGUUUGAGGCAGGGGGUCUCCUUCUGUUUUGUAUGCAGCUUCGACUAUCGAAAGGGAAUCAGGUUAAUAUUCCUGAACCGAGACGUGGAUAAUGUGUGGCAACACAAUCGACCCA
rfam:Daphnia pulex DAPPTscaffold_1864_Cont13561, whole genome shotgun sequence.